rnacentral:rRNA from 1 species
UACGUAGGUGACCAGCGUUGUCCGGAUUUACUGGGCGUAAAGAGCGCGCAGGCGGUCGUUCAAGUCGAGUGUGAAAGCCCCCGGCUCAACUGGGGAGGGUCAUUCGAUACUGAUCGACUUGAAGGCAGGAGAGGGGAGUGGAAUUCCCGGUGUAGUGGUGAAAUGCGUAGAUAUCGGGAGGAACACCAGUGGCGAAGGCGACUUCCUGGCCUGUUCUUGACGCUGAGGCGCGAAAGCUAGGGGAGCAAACGGG